rnacentral:rRNA from 1 species
GAUGAACGCUGGCGGCGUGCAUAACACAUUCAAGUCGAACGAAGCAGCAAUGCUUAGUGGCGGACGGGUGAGUAACGCGUGAGCAACCUGCCUCGGAUUGUGGAAUAACACAGGGAAACUUGUGCUAAUACCGCAUAACAAGUGGACCUCGCAUGAGGACUUCUUCAAAAGAGUAGCGAUACUUGAUCUGAGAUGGGCUCGCGUCCGAUUAGAUAGUUGGUAAGGUAACGGCUUACCAAGUCUGCGAUCGGUAGCCGGACUGAGAGGUCGAAACGGCCACAUUGGAACUGAGAUACGGUCCAGACUCCUACGGGAGGCAGCAGUGGGGAAUAUUGGGCAAAUGGGCGAAAAGCCUGACCCAGCGACGCCGCGUGAGGGAAG